rnacentral:rRNA from 1 species
UACGUAGGGGGGCUAGCGUUGUCCGGAAUCAUUGGGCGUAAAGAGCGUGUAGGCGGCCCGGUAAGUCCGCUGUGAAAGUCGGGGGGCUCAACCCUCGGAUGCCGGUGGAUACUGUCGGGCUCGAGUACGGAAGAGGCGAGUGGAAUUCCUGGUGUAGCGGUGAAAUGCGCAGAUAUCAGGAGGAACACCUAUUGCGAAGGCAGCUCGCUGGGACGUACUGACGCUGAGACGCGAAAGCGUGGGGAGCGAACAGG